CCGACGGCCGAGGCAAAGGGAGAAGGUCUGAGCCUGCUGUGGGCUGGAACCGCACAAACCUAGCUUUUAAGUCCUCCAAGGAUUGUGCGGUCCAGAAUGUCGGCUGUGCAUCGCCGACAGGGGUUCUCGCGAGGAUACAAUAUUCUGGCUCGAUGAUACUGUGAGGCACUCGCAUGGCUGCCGUUUUGUGACCCCAAGAUGCAAGAACCAGGAGAGCGAUGAGUAGGAAAACCAAUCCAUCCAUUUGCAUUUUUCAUAAAGAUGACCCCAAGACCCACAAGAGCAAGAUCAACACACACGUCGGUGAAGCUACCAAAGCACUAAGUGCUUUAGCAGAGAGGACUUGGUUGGCUGAUGUCCACAGAGAGGUUUAUGCAGCGCUAUGCUUGCACAUUUUCCAUUUGAAUGUUCAGAUGACAAUAAAUAUCCCUCUCGUUUUCUCAUGAGAUACUGAGCAAGAGGUAAAAUGUUAUGUUGCCCUGCAAGAUUGAAUUAGCAUUUAGAGCCUGGCAAGAAGUUAUUGUUUUAUAUACCUGUGCCGCUCACACUACUAAGAGGGAGGAAACUGGGGUCUUUAACCUGCAGCACUUGUACUUACUGAUUGUAUAGGAUGUUAGAAAUGCUGAUACUUCCCUUUUCUAGUACAUACAUAUGCCCUGCACAAGCAUAUUUACAUUAGAUCCAGUCUGCAGCCACGUUUACAUCCUGGAAAAAUCUAUAUUCUUGGAAAAGGCAUUUUGAAGAAAAAGUGAAUUCCACUUGAAGUCCACGUGUGUCUUUAUUGCACAUGCUGUCUCCAUGUUCUGACUUUCAAUCAACAGACACAUUUCAUCCCCAGUGGAGAACUGUGCUGUAAACACAAGCAUACGGUAAAGGAGUUCAUUAUUCCAACUGAGUUUGAAAACAACUCACUGCGGUUCUGACAUUUUUUGAGCGGGAGAUCAUUUUCGAAGCAGCCCGCCGCACUAAAUGAACAGCUGAUUAUGAAAGUUAUUGAUUUUGCAGGUUUGUCGGCUUUGCACUCAUCAAAAAAUCCUAUGCAUUGCAGGGGGCCCAAAAGAGCGGCAAAAAGGCUCCACACAGGAGGCAGAUCCCUGCGUGUUAAUCCUUCAGUUUUCCAGAAGGCUUAUUUGGAGCGUGGGUCAAAUCUGUUGAGUAGACUUUUGGCUGUUAGUUCCCCUAUUACU